rnacentral:rRNA from 1 species
AAUGAACGUUGGCGGCAGGCUUAACACAUGCAAGUCGAGCGCCCCGCAAGGGGAGCGGCAGACGGGUGAGUAACACGUGGGAAUCUACCCAUCCCUGCGGAACAACUCCGGGAAACUGGAGCUAAUACCGCAUACGCCCUACGGGGGAAAGAUUUAUCGGGGAUGGAUGAGCCCGCGUUGGAUUAGCUAGUUGGUGGGGUAAAGGCCUACCAAGGCGACGAUCCAUAGCUGGUCUGAGAGGAUGAUCAGCCACAUUGGGACUGAGACACGGCCCAAACUCCUACGGGAGGCAGCAGUGGGGAAUAUUGGACAAUGGGCGCAAGCCUGAUCCAGCCAUGCCGCGUGAGUGAUGAAGGCCUUAGGGUUGUAAAGCUCUUUCACCGAUGAAGAUAAUGACGGUAGUCGGAGAAGAAGCCCCGGCUAACUUCGUGCCAGCAGCCGCGGUAA